UACGUAGGCAGCAAGCGUUGUUCGGAAUUACUGGGCGUAAAGGGUGCGUAGGCGGUUUGGUAAGUCUUAUGUGAAAUCUACAGGCUCAACUUGUAGUCUGCAUGAGAAACUGCCGGGCUUGAGUAUGGGAGAGGUGAGUGGAAUUCCUGGUGUAGCGGUGAAAUGCGUAGAUAUCAGGAGGAACACCUGUGGCGAAAGCGGCUCACUGGACCAUAACUGACGCUGAUGCACGAAAGCUAGGGGAGCAAACAGG
rnacentral:rRNA from 1 species